UGGCUCAGAUUGAACGCUGGCGGCAGGCCUAACACAUGCAAGUCGAGCGGUAGCACAAGAGAGCUUGCUCUCUGGGUGACGAGCGGCGGACGGGUGAGUAAUGUCUGGGAAACUGCCUGAUGGCGGGGGAUAACUAGUGGAAACGGUAGCUAAUACCGCAUAACGUCGCAAGACCAAAGUGGGGGACCUUCGGGCCUCACGCCAUCAGAUGUGCCCAGGUGGGAUUAGCUGGUAGGUGGGGUAACGGCUCACCUAGGCGACGAUCCCUAGCUGGUCUGAGAGGAUGACCAGCCACACUGGAACUGAGACACGGUCCAGACUCCUACGGGAGGCAGCAGUGGGGAAUAUUGCACAAUGGGCGCAAGCCUGAUGCAGCCAUGCCGCGUGUGUGAAGAAGGCCUUCGGGUUGUAAAGCACUUUCAGCGAGGAGGAAGGGUAAUGUGUUAAUA
rnacentral:rRNA from 1 species